CGGAGGGUGCAAGCGUUAUCCGGAUUUACUGGGUUUAAAGGGUGCGUAGGUGGGUAGGAAAGUCAGUGGUGAAAUCUUCGGGCUUAACCCGGAAACUGCCAUUGAUACUAUUUAUCUUGAAUACUCUGGAGGUAAGCGGAAUAUGUCAUGUAGCGGUGAAAUGCUUAGAUAUGACAUAGAACACCAAUUGCGAAGGCAGCUUACUACAUAGUUAUUGACACUGAGGCACGAAAGCGUGGGGAUCAAACAGGAUUAGAUACCCUGGUAGUCCACGCCCUAAACGAUGGAUACUCGACAUUAGCGAUACACUGUUAGUGUCUGAGCGAAAGCAUUAAGUAUCCCACCUGGGAAGUACGGAUCGCAAGAUUG
rnacentral:rRNA from 1 species